AAUCGGCCACAUUGGGACUGAGACACGGCCCAAACUCCUACGGGAGGCAGCAGUAGGGAAUCUUCCACAAUGGACGAAAGUCUGAUGGAGCAACGCCGCGUGAGUGAAGAAGGGUUUCGGCUCGUAAAACUCUGUUGUUAAAGAAGAACAUAUCUGAGAGUAACUGUUCAGGUAUUGACGGUAUUUAACCAGAAAGCCACGGCUAACUACGUGCCAGCAGCCGCGGUAAUACGUAGGUGGCAAGCGUUGUCCGGAUUUAUUGGGCGUAAAGCGAGCGCAGGCGGUUUUUUAAGUCUGAUGUGAAAGCCUUCGGCUCAACCGAAGAAGUGCAUCGGAAACUGGGAAACUUGAGUGCAGAAGAGGACAGUGGAACUCCAUGUGUAGCGGUGAAAUGCGUAGAUAUAUGGAAGAACACCAGUGGCGAAGGCGGCUGUCUGGUCUGUAACUGACGCUGAGGCUCGAAAGUAUGGGUAGCAAACAGGAUUAGAUACCCUGGUAGUCCAUACCGUAAACGAUGAAUGCUAAGUGUUGGAGGGUUUCCGCCCUUCAGUGCUGCAGCUAACGCAUUAAGCAUUCCGCCUGGGGAGUACGGCCGCAAGGCUGAAACUCAAAGGAAUUGACGGGGGCCCGCACAAGCGGUGGAGCAUGUGGUUUAAUUCGAAGCUACGCGAAGAACCUUACCAGGUCUUGACAUACUAUGCAAAUCUAAGAGAUUAGACGUUCCCUUCGGGGACAUGGAUACAGGUGGUGCAUGGUUGUCGUCAGCUCGUGUCGUGAGAUGUUGGGUUAAGUCCCGCAACGAGCGCAACCCUUAUUAUCAGUUGCCAGCAUUAAGUUGGGCACUCUGGUGAGACUGCCGGUGACAAACCGGAGGAAGGUGGGGAUGACGUCAAAUCAUCAUGCCCCUUAUGACCUGGGCUACACACGUGCUACAAUGGAUGGUACAACGAGUUGCGAACUCGCGAGAGUAAGCUAAUCUCUUAAAGCCAUUCUCAGUUCGGAUUGUAGGCUGCAACUCGCCUACAUGAAGUCGGAAUCGCUAGUAAUCGCGGAUCAGCAUGCCGCGGUGAAUACGUUCCCGGGCCUUGUACACACCGCCCGUCACACCAUGAGAGUUUGUAACACCCAAAGUCGGUGGGGUAACCUUUUAGGAACCAGCCGCCUAAGGUGGGACAGAUGAUUAGGGUGAAGUCGUAACAAGGUAGCCGUAGGAGAACCUGCGGCUGGAUCACCUCCUUUCUAAGGAA
rnacentral:rRNA from 1 species